GCCGGCGUAGCUCAACGGCAGAGCGCCCGCCUUGUAAGCGGGAGCGUGUGGGUUCGACUCCCAUCGCCGGCUCCA
rnacentral:tRNA from 1 species